rnacentral:ribozyme from 1 species
CUUGGAGGGCUCUCUGCUUGAUGGUAAGCCAGCUGUAUGUUUUUUGACGCAUCGUUACUUGUUGAUGGAGCACCUUAUUGUAGACCCCGCUGAACUACACAGAAGCGCACCAUGGAAUACAAAGGUGCAGGGCGAGCGAGGCCUUUUUUUUUGUUUUGAGGAGGGGUGGGGUGCGGUACGCAGCACAACUAAUAGAUGCUUGAUGUGUAU